AUGCACGCUGGCGGCGUGCCUAAUACCUGCAAGUCGAGCGAACAGACGAGGAGCUUGCUCCUCUGACGUUAGCGGCGGACGGGUGAGUAACACGUGGAUAACCUACCUAUAAGACUGGGAUAACUUCGGGAAACCGGAGCUAAUACCGGAUAAUAUAUUGAACCGCAUGGUUCAAUAGUGAAAGACGGUUUUGCUGUCACUUAUAGAUGGAUCCGCGCCGCAUUAGCUAGUUGGUAAGGUAACGGCUUACCAAGGCAACGAUGCGUAGCCGACCUGAGAGGGUGAUCGGCCACACUGGAACUGAGACACGGUCCAGACUCCUACGGGAGGCAGCAGUAGGGAAUCUUCCGCACUGGGCGAAAGCCUGACGGAGCAACGCCGCGUGAGUGAUGAAGGUCUUCGGAUCGUAAAACUCUGUUAUUAGGGAAGAACAAAUGUGUAAGUAACUAUGCACGUCUUGACGGUACCUAAUCAGAAAGCCACGGCUAACUACGUG
rnacentral:rRNA from 1 species